rnacentral:rRNA from 1 species
CCUACGGGAGGCAGCAGUGAGGAAUAUUGGUCAAUGGACGAGAGUCUGAACCAGCCAAGUAGCGUGAAGGAUGACUGCCCUAUGGGUUGUAAACUUCUUUUAUAUGGGAAUAAAAUGUUCCACGUGUGGGAUUUUGUAUGUACCAUAUGAAUAAGGAUCGGCUAACUACGUGCCAGCAGCCGCGGUAAUACGGAGGAUCCGAGCGUUAUCCGGAUUUAUUGGGUUUAAAGGGAGCGUAGGUGGAUUGUUAAGUCAGUUGUGAAAGUUUGCGGCUCAACCGUAAAAUUGCAGUUGAAACUGGCAGUCUUGAGUACAGUAGAGGUGAGCGGAAUUCGUGGUGUAGCGGUGAAAUGCUUAGAUAUCACGAAGAACUCCGAUUGCGAAGGCAGUUCACUGGACUGCAACUGACACUGAGGCUCGAAAGUGUGGGUAUCAAACAGGAUUAGAUACCCGGGUAGUC